rnacentral:rRNA from 1 species
GACGAACGCUGGCGGCGUGCUUAACACAUGCAAGUCGAACGGAAAGGCCCUGCUUUUGUGGGGUGCUCGAGUGGCGAACGGGUGAGUAACACGUGAGUAACCUGCCCUUGACUUUGGGAUAACUUCAGGAAACUGGGGCUAAUACCGGAUAGGAGCUCCUGCUGCAUGGGGGGGGUUGGAAAGUUUCGGCGGUUGGGGAUGGACUCGCGGCUUAUCAGCUUGUUGGUGGGGUAGUGGCUUACCAAGGCUUUGCCGGGUAGCCGGCCUGAGAGGGUGACCGGCCACAUUGGGCCUGGGAUACGGCCCAGACUCCUCCGGGAGGCAGCAGUGGGGAAUAUUGCACAAUGGGCGGAAGCCUGAUGCAGCAACGCCGCGUGCGGGAUGACGGCCUUCGGGUUGUAUACCGCUUUCGCCUGUGACGAAGCGUGAGUGACGGUAAUGGGUAAAGAAGCACCGGCUAACUACGUG